rnacentral:rRNA from 1 species
CCUACGGGAGGCAGCAGUGAGGAAUAUUGGUCAAUGGGCGCGAGCCUGAACCAGCCAAGUAGCGUGAGGGAAGACGGUCCUAUGGAUUGUAAACCUCUUUUGUCGGGGAGCAAAAGACGCCACGCGUGUCGUUCCGAGAGUACCCGAAGAAAAAGCAUCGGCUAACUCCGUGCCAGCAGCCGCGGUAAUACGGAGGAUGCGAGCGUUAUCCGGAUUUAUUGGGUUUAAAGGGUGCGAAGGCGGAAGAUCAAGUCAGCGGUAAAAUUGAGAGGCUCAACCUCUACGAGCCGGUGAUACUGGUAUUCUUGAGUGAGCGAGAGGUAUGCGGAAUGCGUGGUGUAGCGGUGAAAUGCAUAGAUAUCACGCAGAACUCCGAUUGCGAAGGCAGCAUACCGGCGCUCAACUGACGCUCAUGCACGAAAGUGUGGGUAUCGAACAGGAUUAGAUACCCGAGUAGUC